rnacentral:rRNA from 1 species
CGCGUAGGCGGGAUGGCAAGUCGGUCGUGAAAUCCUUCGGCUCAACCGAAGAACGUCGGCCGAUACUGCCGUUCUUGAGGGAUGCAGAGGAGAUUGGAAUUCCCGGUGUAGCGGUGAAAUGUGUAGAGAUCGGGAGGAACACCGGCGGCGAAGGCGGGUCUCUGGGCAUCUCCUGACGCUGAGGCGCGAAAGCGUGGGAGCAAACG